UACACCCCUGCGGGAGGCAGCAGUGGGGAAUAUUGGACAAUGGGCGCAAGCCUGAUCCAGCCAUGCCGCGUGAGUGAUGAAGGCCCUAGGGUUGUAAAGCUCUUUCACCGGUGAAGAUAAUGACGGUAACCGGAGAAGAAGCCCCGGCUAACUUCGUGCCAGCAGCCGCGGUAAUACGAAGGGGGCUAGCGUUGUUCGGAUUUACUGGGCGUAAAGCGCACGUAGGCGGACUAUUAAGUCAGGGGUGAAAUCCCGGGGCUCAACCCCGGAACUGCCUUUGAUACUGGUAGUCUUGAGUUCGAGAGAGGUGAGUGGAAUUCCGAGUGUAGAGGUGAAAUUCGUAGAUAUUCGGAGGAACACCAGUGGCGAAGGCGGCUCACUGGCUCGAUACUGACGCUGAGGUGCGAAAGCGUGGGGAGCAAACAGGAUUAGAAACCCCGGUAGUCCCAUGA
rnacentral:rRNA from 1 species